GGGCGUAAAGAGCUCGUAGGCGGCUCAGUUAGUCGGGUGUGAAAACUCAGGGCUUAACCCUGAGACGCCACUCGAUACUGCUGGGCUAGAAUUCGGUAGGGGAGUGGGGAAUUCCUGGUGUAGCGGUGAAAUGCGCAGAUAUCAGGAGGAACACCGGUGGCGAAGGCGCCACUCUGGGCCGACAUUGACGCUGAGGAGCGAAAGCGUGGGUAGCAAACAGGAUUAGAUACCCUGGUAGUCCACGCCGUAAACGGUGGGCACUAGGUGUGGGUUCCAACCAACGGAAUCCGUGCCGUCGCAAACGCAUUAAGUGCCCCGCCUGGGGAGUACGGCCGCAAGGUUAAAACUCAAAGGAAUUGACGGGGCCCCGCACAAGCAGCGGAGCGUGUUGCUUAAUUCGAUGCAACGCGAAGAACCUUACCUGGGCUUGACAUGCAGAGAAAAGCGGUAGAGAUACCGUGUCCUUCGGGGCUUUGCACAGGUGGUGCAUGGCUGUCGUCAGCUCGUGUCGUGAGAUGUUGGGUUAAGUCCCGCAACGAGCGCAACCCUCGUCCUAUGUUGCCAGCGGGUAAUGCCGGGGACUCGUAGGAGACUGCCGGGGUCAACUCGGAGGAAGGUAAU
rnacentral:rRNA from 1 species